rnacentral:rRNA from 1 species
CCAGACUCCUACGGGAGGCAGCAGUGGGGAAUAUUGCACAAUGGGGGAAACCCUGAUGCAGCAACGCCGCGUGAAGGAAGACGGUUUUCGGAUUGUAAACUUCUGUUCUUAGUGAAGAAUAAUGACGGUAGCUAAGGAGCAAGCCACGGCUAACUACGUGCCAGCAGCCGCGGUAAUACGUAGGGGGCAAGCGUUAUCCGGAUUUACUGGGUGUAAAGGGAGCGUAGGCGGUGAUGCAAGUCAGAAGUGAAAGCCCGCAGCUCAACUGCGGGACUGCUUUUGAAACUGUAUGACUAGAUUGCAGGAGAGGUAAGUGGAAUUCCUAGUGUAGCGGUGAAAUGCGUAGAUAUUAGGAGGAACACCAGUGGCGAAGGCGGCUUACUGGACUGUAAAUGACGCUGAGGCUCGAAAGCGUGGGGAGCAAACAGGAUUAGAUACCCCAGUACAU